rnacentral:lncRNA from 1 species
CGCCCCCAAGAAGAGCUCACCAGCAUUGGCAAUGUCUUUGAGGAGGAGAAGAAGGAUGAAGGGCCUCAGGUUCCAACUAUUGACUUGAAGGAUAUUGAGUCUGAGGACGAGGUGGUCCGGGAGAGAUGCCGGGAGGAGUUGAAGAAAGCUGCCAUGGAGUGGGGUGUGAUGCACCUUGUUAACCAUGGCAUCUCUGAUGACCUUAUCAACCGUGUUAAGGUUGCUGGAGAGACCUUUUUCAAUCUCCCCAUGGAGGAAAAGGAGAAGUAUGCUAAUGACCAGGCCUCCGGCAAGAUCGCUGGCUAUGGCAGCAAGCUUGCCAACAAUGCUAGUGGACAGCUUGAGUGGGAGGACUACUUCUUCCACCUCAUCUUCCCUGAAGACAAGCGCGAUAUGACCAUCUGGCCUAAGACACCAAGCGACUACGUGUAAGUUCAAUUCAUUGUUUAUGUAAUUAUACGAUGUUUGCUGAUCUGUUUUUCCUCUGGCCAAGUAGUUACUAACUGAAUUUUCUAUUAUAAAAAAAAAUCUGCAAAUUUUACUAAUUUUGAAAUUGUUUCUGGGUUCUAAGAAUUACUUGUUCAAACUUGUGAUUGCAGUCCAGCAACCUGUGAGUACUCGGUGAAACUUAGGAGCCUGGCAACCAAGAUACUAUCGGUGCUAUCGCUUGGGUUGGGAUUGGAAGAAGGGAGACUAGAAAAGGAAGUUGGUGGGAUGGAAGAGCUACUACUCCAAAAGAAGAUCAACUACUACCCCAAGUGUCCCCAGC